CUGAUUUGUCCGAUUUAAAUGUUUUAAAUGCCUUUUUAUUACUUUUAAUUUCUUGAUUUACUUUCCCACUAAGCCCCAUUGGUUUCAGUUUGUUUCUUGUUAAUGUGUGUGAAGCUCUCUAUCUGUAAAUGAUCAGCAAUGCACCUACAAGGAAUCCCCACAACCUUGUAAAAAACAAACAGAUAAAAACAGUGGUGGUGGCACU